GACGAACGCUGGCGGCGUGCUUAACACAUGCGAGUCGAACGAUGAUGCCCUAGCUUGCUGGGGUGGACGAGUGGCGAACGGGUGAGUAACACGUGAGUAACCUGCCCCUUUCUUCGGGAUAAGCUUGGGAAACUGGGUCUAAUACCGGAUAUUCUGCAAUUCUCCCAUGGUGGUUGUGGGAAAGAUUUUUUGGUGGGGGAGGGGCUGGCGGUCUAUCAGCUGGUUGGUGGGGUGAUGGCUUACCAAGGCGUCGACGGGUAGCCGGCCGGAGGGGGUGACCGGCCGGACUGGGACUGAGAUACGGCCCAGACUCCGACGGGAGGCAGCAGUGGGGAAUAUUGCACAAUGGGCGCAAGCUGGAUGCAGCGACGCCGCGUGAGGGAUGACGGCUUUCGGGUUGUAAACCUCUUUCGAUGGGGAACAAGGCCAUAUUUUUGUGUGGUUGAGGGUACCUGUAUAAGAAGCGCCGGCUAACUACGU
rnacentral:rRNA from 1 species